rnacentral:ncRNA from 1 species
CGGGCCCCCUGGCGAUCAGGGGGCCUGGCGGCCCGACUCCGGUACCUGGCACGGCCGGGGCGG